rnacentral:rRNA from 1 species
UACGUAGGGUGCAAGCGUUGUCCGGAAUUAUUGGGCGUAAAGAGCUCGUAGGCGGUUUGUCGCGUCGGCUGUGAAAGCCCGGAGCUCAACUCCGGGUCUGCAGUCGAUACGGGCAGACUUGAGUGUUGCAGGGGAGACUGGAAUUCCUGGUGUAGCGGUGAAAUGCGCAGAUAUCAGGAGGAACACCGGUGGCGAAGGCGGGUCUCUGGACCGAUACUGACGCUGAGGAGCGAAAGCGUGGGGAGCGAACAGG